AGACUGGUUAAUGCCAACAAUGCAUCAUAAAACCUUCAGAAGGAAAGGAGUGUUCUGUGGACCAUUUGUUUCUUUGGUGUGGUAGUUUUAGGUUACUAGUUUUUAAAGUCAGU
rnacentral:pre_miRNA from 1 species